rnacentral:rRNA from 1 species
GACGAACGCUGGCGGCGUGCCUAAUACAUGCAAGUCGAGCGGACUGAUUAAGAGCUUGCUCUUAUGACGUUAGCGGCGGACGGGUGAGUAACACGUGGGCAACCUGCCCUGUAGACCGGGAUAACACCGAGAAAUCGGUGCUAAUACCGGGUAAUAUCUGAGAUCACAUGAUCUUAGGUUAAAAGAUGGCUCCGGCUAUCACUACAGGAUGGGCCCGCUGCGCAUUAGCUAGUUGGUAAGGGAAUGGCUUACCAAGGCGACGAUGCGUAGCGGACCUGAGAGGGGGAUCGGCCCCACUGGGACUGAGACACGGCCCCGACUCCUACGGGAGACGGCCGAGGGGAAUCUCCCGGAAAGGACGAGAGUCUGACGGAGCAACGCCGCGUGAGUGAUGAAGGGUUUCGGCUCGUGAAGCGCUGUUGUUAGGGAAGAAACAGUACCGAACGAACUAGGUCGGUACCUUGACGGUACCUAACCAGAAAGCCACGGCUAACUACGUG